rfam:Prosthecochloris sp. CIB 2401, complete genome.
AGGCAUCCCCAUUACCUAUGGACACGGUGCCGCAGACCCCCGGGGUUGUUCUGCCCUUGAACGGUCUGUAACGGGUUUUCCGUGUCCAG